rnacentral:rRNA from 1 species
UGCAGUCGAGCGGUAGCACAGAGAGCUUGCUCUCGGGUGACGAGCGGCGGACGGGUGAGUAAUGUCUGGGAAACUGCCUGAUGGAGGGGGAUAACUACUGGAAACGGUAGCUAAUACCGCAUAAUGUCGCAAGACCAAAGUGGGGGACCUUCGGGCCUCAUGCCAUCAGAUGUGCCCAGAUGGGAUUAGCUAGUAGGUGGGGUAACGGCUCACCUAGGCGACGAUCCCUAGCUGGUCUGAGAGGAUGACCAGCCACACUGGAACUGAGACACGGUCCAGACUCCUACGGGAGGCAGCAGUGGGGAAUAUUGCACAAUGGGCGCAAGCCUGAUGCAGCCAUGCCGCGUGUGUGAAGAAGGCCUUCGGGUUGUAAAGCACUUUCAGCGGGGAGGAAGGCGAUAAGGUUAAUAACCUUGUCGAUUGACGUUACCCGCAGAAGAAGCACCGGCUAACUCCGUGCCAGCAGCCGCGGUAAUACGGAGGGUGCAAGCGUUAAUCGGAAUUACUGGGCGUAAAGCGCACGCAGGCGGUCUGUCAAGUCGGAUGUGAAAUCCCCGGGCUCAACCUGGGAACUGCAUUCGAAACUGGCAGGCUAGAGUCUUGUAGAGGGGGGUAGAAUUCCAGGUGUAGCGGUGAAAUGCGUAGAGAUCUGGAGGAAUACCGGUGGCGAAGGCGGCCCCCUGGACAAAGACUGACGCUCAGGUGCGAAAGCGUGGGGAGCAAACAGGAUUAGAUACCCUGGUAGUCCACGCCGUAAACGAUGUCGAUUUGGAGGUUGUGCCCUUGAGGCGUGGCUUCCGGAGCUAACGCGUUAAAUCGACCGCCUGGGGAGUACGGCCGCAAGGUUAAAACUCAAAUGAAUUGACGGGGGCCCGCACAAGCGGUGGAGCAUGUGGUUUAAUUCGAUGCAACGCGAAGAACCUUACCUGGUCUUGACAUCCACAGAACUUUCCAGAGAUGGAUUGGUGCCUUCGGGAACUGUGAGACAGGUGCUGCAUGGCUGUCGUCAGCUCGUGUUGUGAAAUGUUGGGUUAAGUCCCGCAACGAGCGCAACCCUUAUCCUUUGUUGCCAGCGGUCCGGCCGGGAACUCAAAGGAGACUGCCAGUGAUAAACUGGAGGAAGGUGGGGAUGACGUCAAGUCAUCAUGGCCCUUACGACCAGGGCUACACACGUGCUACAAUGGCAUAUACAAAGAGAAGCGACCUCGCGAGAGCAAGCGGACCUCAUAAAGUAUGUCGUAGUCCGGAUUGGAGUCUGCAACUCGACUCCAUGAAGUCGGAAUCGCUAGUAAUCGUAGAUCAGAAUGCUACGGUGAAUACGUUCCCGGGCCUUGUACACACCGCCCGUCACACCAUGGGAGUGGGUUGCAAAAGAAGUAGGUAGCUUAA